AAAUUAACGGUCUGUAGGCUGUUACUCGGCCGUGCAGCUCUUUCGUAUUUCUCUGCAUUCCCAGGCCUGCUCUGCAGUGGGAAGGGAGAGAUGUCCUCUGACCAGGUCAACUCUGGGCCUUUGGAGACCCCCCUCCGGCCCCAGUCACUGGCGCCACACCUGCAUUUCCUUUGGUGUUUUGGGCCAAACAGGCCGCUCCAAGAAGAUAGGCCACACCUUUUCUGGACUGGCACUGCGGAAGGAGCCCCUGUAUUCUUAAGUGGUGGAAGAAUUUGCACCUGUGGAGCAAAGUGUUCUAAUUUUUUUAAAAUUCUAAUAUGUAAUAUAUUGAUUGUAAACCGUCAUUGUUAAAUCUACUUCAGUUACCAUUACAAAUAUCAUAUUUGGCUUUUGUGUUGACAAUAUAUUUUUAAGUUUUUAGUUUAUCUUUUCUUAUUGUUACCAUGUUUUCUUAUUCAUCUUUGUCUUACUCAGAUUUAUUUCCUUCUAAUCAUUUUUUUCUUUAGUCACUUUAAAUUGUAUUAUAUUUCAAUAUUUACACUAUUAGUUAUCUUAGUAUUAAUAUUACUGUAAUCAAAUUUUAAAAUGAUUCAAUAUGUAAUUUUUGGCAAUAGAAUAUUAUCUACUUUUUAUUUACCAUAGUGUUUCACAUAUAAACUCAGCCAAUUAACAGAAGAAAUUUAGUGUUCAUUUCCUCUCCUCUAUCUUGUAGUUAUAUUAAUUGAUGUACUUUCUUUUUCUUUUUUG
rnacentral:lncRNA from 10 species